AACCUGCGGAGGGAUCAUUACUGAGUGAGGGCUCACGCCCGACCUCCAACCCUUUGUGAACCAAACUUGUUGCUUCGGGGGCGACCCUGCCGACGACUCCGUCGCCGGGCGCCCCCGGAGGUCUCCUAAACACUGCAUCUUUGCGUCGGAGUUUAAAACAAAUUAAACAAAACUUUCAACAACGGAUCUCUUGGUUCUGGCAUCGAUGAAGAACGCAGCGAAAUGCGAUAAGUAAUGUGAAUUGCAGAAUUCAGUGAAUCAUCGAAUCUUUGAACGCACAUUGCGCCCUUUGGUAUUCCGAAGGGCAUGCCUGUUCGAGCGUCAUUUCACCACUCAAGCCUGGCUUGGUAUUGGGCGUCGCGGUGUUUCCGCGCGCCUUAAAGUCUUCCGGCUGAGCUGUCCGUCUCUAAGCGUUGUGGAUUUUUCAAUUCGCUUCGGAGUGCGGGCGGCCGCGGCCGUUAAAUCUUUAUUCAAAGGUUGACCUCGGAUCAAGUAGGGAUA
rnacentral:rRNA from 1 species